UACGGGGGGAGCGAGCGUUGUUCGGAAUCACUGGGCGUAAAGAGCGCGCAGGCGGUCGUUCAAGUCGAGUGUGAAAGCCCCCGGCUCAACUGGGGAGGGUCAUUCGAUACUGAUCGACUCGAAGGCAGGAGAGGGAAGUGGAAUUCCCGGUGUAGUGGUGAAAUGCGUAGAUAUCGGGAGGAACACCAGUGGCGAAGGCGACUUCCUGGCCUGUUCUUGACGCUGAGGCGCGAAAGCUAGGGGAGCAAACGGG
rnacentral:rRNA from 1 species